CCCUUAGAUGUCCGGGGCUGCACGCGCGCUACACUGAAGGAAUCAGCGUGCUAAAACCAUUGUCGAAAGGCAUUGGUAAACCCAUUAAAGUCCUACGUGAUUGGGAUCGGGAAUUGCAAUUAUUUCCCUUGAACGAGGAAUUCCCAGUAAGUGUGGGUCAUAAGCUCGCGUUGAUUACGUCCCUGCCCUUUGUACACACCGCCCGUCGCUGCCCGGGACUGAGCCGUUUCGAGAAAAGCGGGGACUGCUGCUGUCGGGGCUUUCGGGCCUUGGCUUCGGUGGAAACCGCUUUAAUCGCAGUGGCUUGAACCGGGCAAAANUCGUAACA
rnacentral:rRNA from 1 species